UACGUAGUGGGCAAGCGUUGUCCGGAAUCAUUGGGCGUAAAGCGCGUGUAGGCGGCUCGAUAAGUCUGCUGUGAAAGUCCAGGGCUCAACCCUGGGAUGCCGGUGGAUACUGUCGAGCUCGAGUCCGGAAGAGGCGAGUGGAAUUCCUGGUGUAGCGGUGAAAUGCGCAGAUAUCGGGAGGAACACCAGUAGCGAAGGCGACACUCUGGGCCGGUACUGACGCUGAGGAGCGAAAGCGUGGGGAGCAAACAGG
rnacentral:rRNA from 1 species